rnacentral:lncRNA from 1 species
AUUUAUUUCCGUGAGUUGCUUCGUGAUGUUUGCCAGAAGUUUUCAAUGUCAGCUCUGAGAUACGAUAUUUCAUAUGAAAAUGUCGAAUUGUUUAAGUGUUACAUCGAUGUUGAAAUUCCUAGAGGGGAGUUUGUUAUAGAGGCCAUUAGGUGUUAGGAAUUCCAAUCGCUUUUAAGGUGAAAGACGCAAAUUUGGAGGAUAAGAAGUUCUUUGAGAAUUGCUAUGAUCCUUAUGUGUUAUAGUAACUGUAAAUUGGUCUACUUCUUGUUUAUAUAUUUUUUUUAUUUACUAUUGGCACUUUUGCUCUGAUAUAUGUUCUUUAGUUAUGAUGAUAUUGCCUCUUGAAAAAUAAGCUACUUUUUAGCUGAUUAGGAACAAAGAGUUUCCUUUAUGCAUUUUGAAAACUAUGAGCUGUUUGGUGUUUCCUUGAAUUUACUUGCAGUUUUCAAUUUCAGGACUAAUGUGCCGUCUAAUUCUAGUAUUGUUGUAUUUAUCCAAUUCUGUUAUUUAUCUAGGAUAUCAAGUUAUUAUUACUACACCUAUUGCUACUUUUUUGCUUCCUAUGAAUUGUUGAUUUUGCUUUUUAGCAUAUUUGGGUAUGUGAAUUAGUGUUUGGAUUGCCUAUUGUGCUCACAGAUUGCUUCUUGGCUCCUGUAGAAUACUGGAUCUUGGUAAAUGAACAAGGUUAUAGUAUGUGUUGCUAGUCAACAUGUACUUACAGGGUUUUAGUGAAUUGAAAACACGUUUUGGCGCGAAAUGGAUGCGAAAACAAACUCAAAAACUCUAGCCCUAUAAAGACAUGCUGUCUAACAACACAUACUGUAACCUUGUCUAUUUGUCAUGGUCCAGUAUUCUACAUCAGUCCUUCAAAAGCUGUAAUUUGAAUUUUUCAGUUCGUUUUUGCAUCCAUUAUGCCCCAUCCAAUUGUUACAUCUGCCAAGUACAGUUAGGGAUUAGGAGUUGAAGCAGGAGUCAAGUAAUUGCAUAACAGAGUAAAUAAGAGGAUCAGGUAGGGUCUUAGCUUUUCAAUGUUGGCAGCUUGGACUCGGAGGCGAAGCGAGAGCCGAAAGCCCUUCGACUGGAGCGGAGAUCAGGCAAGAAGGCGUGAGAAGGGGACGUUGGCGGAGCAUGGGAGAUUUGGACCUUGGGCGUACCGACAGGGAGACUGGGAUCAUCCGACAGCUUGACAGCUUGUAGGCGGGUCGGAUGGUCCGAGUCUCGGGUCGGAGUGAAAUAGCGAACCCAGGGCCCGCAGAGUUGCGGAUAGUGCGAAGAAGAGUGGAUCCGACACCACUUACCCGAUGCAUGCAUUCUUGGGCCGGGGACCCAAUCAGAGCCCAAUUAGCACCACAAUUGUCGUAGAUAUGGAGGCCCAUUGGCUUGAACUCACAGCCUCUUUUAGGAAUUAGAUAUUUAUUUUCUAGAGGAAAAUAAAAGGCAGAUUGUAACUCCAAAAACAAGUAAUGAGAAUUAUGAUAAUUUCUUCUCCAUCUUGUAUCUCUCUCUCAACCCUAAUUCUCUCUCUCUUUCUCAUCUUCUUCUUCUUGUUUCUUAUCAUCUCUUCUCUUAUCCUCUCUAUUCUCCUUUUCUUUACUUUAAAUUAUUGUGUUGCAUUCCUGAUUUAUUGUGAGCGGCCAUAAUUGGAACCCAUCAUCCCCAACGUCGUCCAUCGUUUCAGCGAAGUAUUAUCAUCAACGGGUUGCGUUGAGUCAGGUAUGUAACAAUUGGUAUCAGAGCGGUUCGAUCCCAGGGCUUUGUGUGGUAAUAUAGCUUCCGAACUCCAAUCUCGGCAUUGUUGAGUUUAAUCGCGACAAGGAUUUCUGCGUUGCCGAUUCUGAACCGAGAUCAGAGUUGGACAAAAGAAAUCACCACAUAAUAAUCCUAAGACUGAGUACCUGAUCUGAGGAAAAACUCCCUCAUUCCUCAGAUUAUAUCACCCACGAGCACAAUAGAUCAUCCGAGGCAAAUCAAGGCAUCAGUCGACUCAAUAGGGAACCACCUUAAUCAGGUUUUUUUCCUCAGAACGACAAAAUUCGGGGGAGGCGAGGCAACAAGUUUAAGUUUAACCCAAAAGAGUAUCUGGAAGAUAUAGAUAUGGCAGAAGGGACCCGGCUAAGGGAUAUUAGUGAUCAUAUCCAUUCUUUAGAAGAGAAGUACCAGCGGUUGGGAACGGAUCAUUAGGCCAAUAUAGAUACACUUACCCAACAAAUUGCCGAAGUGAGAGAACCGGACAGAGACAGUUUGAAUCGCUACAAGCCGAAGCCAACAAGAGACAUGAGGAGCUACUGAAGCUUAUAACCGCCCAGGCGCCUACAUUCAAGAAUCAAGGCGAGGCACCUUCUAUUGACCGCAAGUUUAAUCCUGGAAGUAGUAGCACGCCAUUAACGAUCAGAGAAGGGAAGGGCAAAGGAAUUUUACCAACUCCCAGCAUGCCACAAGAGACAGAGGAAGAGCACACUUCGCCGUGGGGUCAUCAAAAUUUCAAUCAUCACCAGCAUUUACCAUACCCUCAGUUGGACUUUCCGUCAUUCGAUGGAGAAGAUCCCAGGAGUUGGAUCGAAAAUUGCGAACAAUACUUCUAGUUAUAUCAGAUACCUCAACAUCAAUGGUUGAGUGUAGCGACGAUGCAUUUGAUCGGUAAGGCGAAGACAUGGAAGCAAGGCUAUUUCGUCAAUAAACAGAUAUGGUUUCUUGGGACGAAUUUACUGAAGCAGUGUGUCGAAGAUUUGCGCAAAUAGGGGAAAGAUACCUGAUCCGAGAAUUUAGCAACUUGAGACACACAGGAACAUGUGAGAAAUAUCAAGAACGGUUUGAGGAGUUAAGGUAUCAACUACUAUACUACAAUCCUCAUUUAACUGAAGAAUACUUUAUCGCGUGCUAUAUUAACGGACUCAAGGAGGAGUUGAUUCAUUUCCUGGACAUUGCGCAUCCGAACACAUUGGAAGAGACUUAUGAGCAAGCACAGUUGCAUGAGAAGGCCAUAACCGCACUUAACAAAAGAAACAAAUAUUUGCCCAAGAGGUCGGGAGGUCAGUACUAGUCAACUUCGUCAUACCGAGGCAACAUUGAAACUGGGAUCAAUAAGGUUAGUGAAGAUCAAAAACCUUCGCACCAAACCUCACAAAGAAAUCAGGUGAAUCAAUACACAACCAACAGGCAGUUAAUGGAACAAAGGAGAGCAGCAGGACUGUGUUUCAAGUGCGGAGAAAAGUAUUACCCGAGACAUAUAUGCGUAAAUAAAUCAUUACAUGCUUUACAGGCCACCGAGGAAAUAAUGGAAGUUUACGAUGAAGAUUGUUUGCAAGAAAAAACGGGGGAAGAAGGAGUUAUAGGAGGGGAAGAGCAAGGGUCAAGGGUUAUACUUGAUGGUGAGGAAGCACAGGAAAUAGGAGUUUCAGUCCACGUGCUGAGUGGAGAGAAGCCUCAAGACACCAUUAAGAUACGGGGCGAAGCAAAGAAUAAAACACUCACCCUUUUAAUCGAUACCGGGAGCACGCAUAGUUUCAUCGACCUACGGGUAGCCAAGGAAAUUGGAGCGAGGAUGGAAGCGGCCUCACCUCUGGUGGUAACUAUAGCUGAUGGACACAAAAUGUUGAGCAAACUCAAGUGUCCUGAAUUCUCAUGGACUAUGCAAGGGCAGAGGUUUGUAACAGAGUUAAGGGUAAUUGAAUUGAAGGUGUCAGCGUUGUGUUAGGCAUUGACUGGCUUAAAUCUUAUGGGAAGGUAACCUUCGAUUUUUCGCUAAAUUCGAUCACCAUCAUCAAGGAAGUGCAGAAGUUAGAGUUGAAGGGAAUUGAAGAAGGAUCCACAUUAAAAAUGAUAUCGGCAGCACAAUGGAGGCAGGAAAUCGAGACCGGGGAAUGCUAUCUUUUAAAUCACCAGUUAGAAUCAGAUGAAGCAAGUUUGGAAGUGAUUAUACAUCCAAGGAUACCACUAUUGCUGGAUGAGUUUCAGGAUGUGUUCGAGGAGCCAAGACAGUUGCCUCCUCCUCGGAUUCACGACCAUAAAAUUCCCUUGCAUCCCAACACCACCUCGGUGAAUAUAAGGCCCUACAGGUACUCGCAUGCGCAAAAGGAAGAGAUCGAAAAACAGAUUAGGGAAUUGUUAACCCACUCUAUAAUACAACGGAGCAAUAGUCCAUUCGCUUCUCCGGCCUUGUUGGUUAAGAAAAAAGAUGGAAGUUGGAGAAUGUGUAUUGAUUAUCGCCAACAUAACAAGUGCACUGUGAAGGACAAGUUUCCCAUACCAAUUAUAGAUGAUAUGCUAGAUGAUUUGAAUGGCUCAAGGUAUUUUUCUAAGAUAGAUCUGCGAUCGGGUUACCACCAAAUACGAAUGGACCCUUCUGAUGUCUCGAAAACAGCCUUCCGAACUCAUCACGGUCAUUAUGAGUUUCGGGUCAUGCCGUUCGGCCUUACCAACGCCCUAGCGACGUUCCAAGCCGUCAUGAACUGUACGUUUGAACCUUACUUACGAAAAUUCAUUUUAGUAUUUUUUGAUGAUAUUCUAAUCUAUAGUAAAAGUCUAGAGGAGCAUGUGACGCAUUUGCGCAUCACACUAGAAGAAUUGCGCAGGCACAGAUUCUAUGCUAAAAGAAGUAAAUGUUACUUCGGGCAGAACCAGGUUGAGUACCUGGGUCACAUAAUUUUUGACAAGGGAGUUGCCACCGACCCUUCCAAGAUCGAAGCUAUGGUUCAAUGGCCGGUACCCAAAUCUGUUAAGGAGCUUCGUGGGUUCUUGGGACUUACUAGAUAUUAUAGAAAAUUCAUCAGCGGAUACGGGAAAACUAGCAAACUAUUAACCGAGCUUUUGAAGAAGGAUCACUUUCAUUGGAGUGGAGAGGCCCAAUCAGCAUUUGAAGAAUUAAAGAGGGCCAUGACUAAGGCUCCAGUGCUAGCUAUGCCGGGUUUCGGUAAGCCUUUUACUAUAGAGGUUGAUGCGUGCGGCACCGGGAUAGGAGCAGUAAUGUCCCAAGAGGGGAGGCCAAUAGCAUAUUUGAGUAAAGCGAUCGGCGGAAGGCAUCUUGGGUUGUCAACGUACGAAAAAGAAUUUUUAGCUAUACUUAUGGCAGUGCAAAAGUGGCGGCACUAUUUGAGUGCUAAUCCCUUUGUGAUUAAAACAGAUCAUGAGAGUCUGAAACACCUCUUGGAGCAAAAGAUAUCAACGCCCAUGCAACAGAAAGGGAUGUUGAAGAUGAUGGGGCUGAAUUACACCAUUUUGUAUAAGAAGGGGAGAGAAAACGCCGCGGCAGAUGCACUAUCUAGAAGAGAAGAAUCGGAAGGUCUUUCUUUAGCCAUAUCUGCGGCAGUACCAUUCUGGGUACAAGAGGUGGUGGAAAGUUACAAGGGAGAUCGACACUGCGAGAAGAUGAUAAGCGAACUAAUUGUACAACCUACCACCCAGGGGCACUACACGUAUGGCCAUGAAUUAUUACGCUACAAGGGUAAGCUAUAUAUUGGAGAGACCGGCUCAUUAAGGAGACAAAUUCUGGACCAGAUGCAUAGUUCAGCCUUGGGAGGCCACUCGGGUAUACAGAACACUCACCGAAGGGUUAAACAACAUUUCUUUUGGCUCGGAAUGAAGAAGGAAAUUGAAGAAUGGGUAAAAAAUUGCACUGUCUGUGCUCAGAAUAAGGUGGAUGGAACUCCUUACUCUGGCUUAUUGCAACCUUUACCUAUCCCACACCAGGUUUGGGAGGACGUAAGCAUGGAUUUCAUAGAAUCUUUACCCAAGUCAGAAGGGAGAGAUACAAUAUUGGUGGUGGUCGAUCGGCUCACCAAAUAUGCGCAUUUCAUAUCGCUGAAACAUCCCUUUUCUGCUUUAGAUGUGGCUAAGGCUUUUAUGGAUACUGUAUGUAAGCUUCAUGGAUGUCCGAGGAGAAUAGUAUCGGAUAGAGAUAAAAUUUUCGUAAGCCAGUUUUGGAAAGAACUCUUUCAGUCAAUGGGAACAAAGCUGCACAUGAGUUCAGCCUAUCAUCCAGAAUCUGACGGUCAGACAGAGAGAGUUAACAGAUGCUUGGAAACAUACUUGAGAUGUAUGUGUUUCCAACAUGCCAAGAAGUGGCAUUCCUGGCUAUCACUGGCCGAAUGGUGGUAUAACACGAGUUUUCACUCAUCUAUAGGCAUGACUCCAUACGAAGCAUUAUACGGACAGCCACCUCCUAAUUACCUGGUGGCCCCCGCGGACACGGUUACCUCUCAGGAAGUUAAAGAAUGGGCCGCAGACAGGGAGCAGUUAACACGGGAACUGAGGGAUCGACUAAAGGUAGCUCAGAAUAGGAUGAAACAACAAGUGGACAAGCACCGAAGGGAGAAAGAGUUUGCUGUAGGGGAUUGGGUUUAUCUAAAAUUACAACCCUAUAGGCAGACCACGGUGGCAGUAAGAAAACAUGUUAAGCUGGCCGCGAGAAUUUUUGGUCCUUUUCAGAUUCUGGAGCGAAUAGGACCGGUCGCUUAUAAGUUGCAGUUACCUGACGGAUCGAGAGUUCACCCAAUGUUCCAUGUGUCUCUUUUGAAGAAAGGCCCUCCAACCUCGGUUCCAGCUUCCCCGAUGGCACCUAUGGUAGGAGAAGACGAUGAAUUGCUAGUCGAGCCAGAAAAAAUCUUGGAUAGGAGGGUGAUGAAGCGCGGAAAUAGGGCCGCCACUGAAGUGUUGGUUAAAUGGGCAAAUCUACCAGAAGACCGCGCGACUUGGGAGGAUUAUUGGCUUAUCAAGAGUCAAUUUCCUUCUUUUGAUCCUUGAGGGCAAGGAUCGGAUUAAGAGGGGAGGAUUGUUACAUCUGCCAAGUACAGUUAGGGAUUAGGAGUUGAAGCAGGAGUCAAGUAAUUGCAUAACAGAGUAAAUAAGAGGAUCAGGUAGGGUCUUAGCUUUUCAAUGUUGGCAGCUUGGACUCGGAGGCGAAGUGAGAGCCGAAAGCCCUUCGGUUGGAGCGGAGAUCAGGCAAGAAGGCGUGAGAAGGGGAGGUUGGCGGAGCAUGGGAGAUUUGGACCUUGGGCGUACCGACAGGGAGACUGGGAUCAUCCGACAGCUUGACAGCUUGUAGGCGGGUCGGAUGGUCCGAGUCUCGGGUCGGAGUGAAAUAGCGAACCCAGGGCCGGCAGGGUUGCGGAUAGUGCGAAGAAGAGUGGAUCCGACACCACUUACCCGAUGCAUGCAUUCUUGGGCUGGGGACCCAAUCAGAGCCCAAUUAGCACCACAAUUGUCGUAGAUAUGGAGGCCCAUUGGCUUGAACUCACAGCCUCUUUUAGGAAUUAGAUAUUUGUUUUCUAGCUUUUAGGAAUUAGAUAUUUGUUUUCUAGAGGAAAAUAAAAGGCAGAUUGUAACUCCAAAAACAAGUAAUGAGAAUUAUGAUAAUUUCUUCUCCAUCUCGUAUCUCUCUCUCAACCCUAAUUCUCUCUCUCUUUCUCCCUUCUUAUUCUUCUUUCUUAUCAUCUCUUCUCUUAUCCUCUCUAUCCUCCUUUUCUUUACUUUAAAUUAUUGUGUUGCAUUCCUAAUUUAUUGUGAGCGGCCAUAAUUGGAACCCAUCAUCCCCAACGCCGUCCAUCGUUUCAGCGAAGUAUCAUCAUCAACGGGUUGCGUUGAGUCAGGUAUGUAACACCAAUUCACUCAAGCCCUAUAAGGACAUGCUGUCUAACAACACAUAAUGUAACCUUGUCUAUUUGUCAUGGUCCAGUAUUCUACAUCAGUCUUCCAUAGGCUGUAAUUUGAAUUUUUCAGUUCGUUUUUGCGUCCAUUAUGCCCCAUCCCAUUCACUCAAGCCCUAUAAGGACAUGCUGUCUAACAACACAUACUGUAACCUUGUCUAUUUGUCAUGGUCCAGUAUUCUACAUCAAUCCUCCAUAAGCUGUAAUUUGAAUUUUUCAGUUCGUUUUUGCGUCCAUUAUGCCCCAUCCAAUUCACUCAAGCCCUAUAAGGACAUGCUGUCUAACAACACAUACUGUAACCUUGUCUAUUUGUCAUGAUCCAGUAUUCUACAUCAGUCCUUCAUAAGUUGAAAUUUGAAUUUUUGAGUUCGUUUUUGCGUCCAUUAUGCCCCAAAAUAAUCUCCAAUUCACUUAAGCCCUAUAGGUCAUGCUGACUAGCAACACAUACUGUAACCUUAUCUAUUUGCUAAGAUCCAGUAUUCUACAUCAACCAUUAGUCCUCCAUAAGCUGAAAUUUUGAGUUUUUGAGUUCGUUUUCGCGUCCAUUUUGUGUCAAAACGUCUCCAAUUCACUCAAACCCUAUAAGGACAUGUUGACUAGCAACACAUAUUGUAAUUUUGUCUAUUUGCCAAGAUCCAGCAAUCUACAUCAAAUAUCUCUAAUUCACUCAAGUCCUAUAAGAACAUGCUGACUAGCAACACCUACCGUAACCUUGUUUAUUUGUCAAGAUCCAGUAUUCAGUAAGAGAUUCAGUUAGGAGACUGUAGUGUUCUGACAAAAAAAUGAAAAUAGUAUUUUUCUCAAAUGAUGACAGUUUGUAAAUUAAUCGACACGUCAGGAUGCUGUUGGGACUCAGGACGAGUAGGAUUUGUUUUGAGCAUGAAAUGGCCGUUGCAAAUAACUCCGAAACGACAUUCACUUUCAGCUGGAGCAUGUUUGUGUACUAUUGAUGCCACGGGUACAA